rnacentral:rRNA from 1 species
CACGUAGGGCGCAAGCGUUGUCCGGAAUUAUUGGGCGUAAAGAGCUCGUAGGCGGUCUGUUGCGUCCGCUGUGAAAACUCGGGGCUUAACCCCGAGCCUGCAGUGGAUACGGGCAGACUAGAGGUAGGUAGGGGAGAAUGGAAUUCCCGGUGUAGCGGUGAAAUGCGCAGAUAUCGGGAGGAACACCGGUGGCGAAGGCGGCUCACUGGACCAUUACUGACGCUGAGGCACGAAAGCUAGGGGAGCAAACAGG